AUGGCGAGGUCGGCGUGGAGGUCCCUGUUCGGGUGCUUCAGCUCGCACGCCGAGGCCGCGGCCGCCGCAGCCGCCGCCGGCAAGGGCGAGAAAAAGGGCAAGGCCUCCAAGAAGAAGAAGAGCAAGAAGAAGGUGGCGGCGGCGGGCAAGGCGCCGAGGCCGAGCCGGUCGCUGCACGGCCGGAUGUCCUUCUCGGACCUCAGCAUGAGCGGCGGCAUGGUGUCGCCGGAGGACCUGUCGCUGUCGCUGGCGGGGUCCGACCUCCACAUCUUCACCAUCGCCGAGCUGCGCGCCGUCACCAGGGACUUCUCCAUGACCAACUUCAUCGGCGAGGGCGGGUUCGGCCCCGUCUACAAGGGCUACGUCGACGAGAAGGUCAAGCCCGGCCUCCGCGCGCAGCCCGUCGCCGUCAAGCUGCUCGACCUCGAGGGGAACCAGGGGCACAACGAGUGGCUGACUGAAGUCAUAUUCCUGGGGCAGUUGAGGCAUCCUCACCUGGUCAAACUGAUUGGUUAUUGCUACGAGGAUGAGCACAGGCUCCUCGUGUACGAGUUCAUGACCAGGGGCAGCCUGGAGAAACUUCUCUUCAAAAAAUACGCGGCGUCGUUGCAAUGGUCAACACGGCUGAAGAUCGCCCUGGGCGCCGCCAAAGGGUUGGCGUUCCUCCAUGAGGCCGAGAACCCGGUCAUCUACCGGGACUUCAAGACCUCCAACAUCCUGCUAGACUCGGAUUACAAAGCGAAGCUGUCGGAUUUCGGGCUAGCCAAAGAUGGACCGGAAGAAGACGAGACGCACGUCUCCACCCGGGUCAUGGGCACGCAGGGCUACGCCGCGCCGGAGUACAUUAUGACAGGGCAUCUGACGGCCAAGAGCGACGUGUACGGCUUCGGCGUGGUGCUGCUGGAGCUGCUGACGGGGCGCAAGUCGGUGGACAAGAGCCGGCCGCCGCGGGAGCAGAACCUGGUGGACUGGGCGCGCCCCUACCUCAACGACUCCCGGCGCCUGGACCGCGUCAUGGACCCAAACCUCGCCGGGCAGUACGCCGGCGGGGCCGCGCAGAGGGCCGCCGCACUGGCCUACAAGUGCGUCAGCCUCAAUCCCAAGUCCCGCCCGCACAUGUCCGCCGUCGUCAGCGCGCUCGAGCCGCUCCUCGCGCUCGAAGAGGAUAGCCUCGCCGGGCCGUUCGUCUACGUUGCGCCGCCUGACAACGGCAGCAGCGGCGGUGGCAGCAGGGAGGGGCGCCACAGGAGGCGAGCGGGCCGGAGGGAGUCCGGAGACGUGGCCGAGUCGGUGGCCGUUGUUGUUGAGCGCGAAUGA
rnacentral:rRNA from 1 species